UAAAACGUCAGGCGGGAAGCGGUCAUAUCGGCCAGGGACACAAUGAAUAUGAAUACCACCAUGAAGCCACCGACCAUCACGGUCAAUAUGACCAUCAUGGUCACCAUGAUCACAAUGAACACGACCAUCAUAAUGAUAGCGAUCACGAACAUGGUCACCAUCACGAUUGCUGCUUGAGAUGUGCGUCUUCUAUGGAUAGCAGGGAGCGUGAAAUUUUGAGAACUGAGCUAUGCGUAAAUUAUCAUGACUUCUAGAUCUGAUCAACAUGGACCGAAUAAUCUUCUUGAAAAUGAACACAUAAACAAUUAAUACAUUAUAAUACUUGCAAUUUUAA